UACGUAGGGGGCAAGCGUUGUCCGGAAUCAUUGGGCGUAAAGAGCGUGUAGGCGGCCCGAUAAGUCCGCUGUGAAAGUCCAGGGCUCAACCCUGGGAUGCCGGUGGAUACUGUCGGGCUCGAGUCCGGAAGAGGAGUGUGGAAUUCCUGGUGUAGCGGUGAAAUGCGCAGAUAUCAGGAGGAACACCAAUGGCGAAGGCAGCUCGCUGGGACGUAACUGACGCUGAGACGCGAAAGCGUGGGGAGCAAACAGG
rnacentral:rRNA from 1 species